GACGAACGCUGGCGGCGUGCUUAACACAUGCAAGUCGAACGGACAGGCGCGGCGUUUGUUGCGUUGACGAUUGGCGAACAGGUGAGUAACACGUGAGUAACCUGCCCCUGACUGUGGGAUAAACCCUGGAAACAGCGGCUAAUACAGGGUAUGACAUGCUGCCGCGUGGGGGUCAUCGGUGAAAUUCGGCGGUUGGGGAUGGUCUCGCGGCAUAUCCGCUUGUUGGUGAGGUAGUGGCUGACCAAGGCUACGACGGGUAGGCGGCCUGAGAGGGGGACCGGGCACAAUGGGACUGCGAGACGGCGCAGACGCCUACGGGAGGCAGCAGUGGGGAAUAUUGCACAAUGGGCGAAAGCGUGAUGCAGAGACGCCGCGUGCGGGAUGACGGCCUUCGGGUUGUAAACCGCUUUCAGCGGAGAAGAAGCGGGAGUGACGGUACCUGAUGAAGAAGCAACGGCUAACUACGUG
rnacentral:rRNA from 1 species